UACGGAGGGUGCGAGCGUUGUCCGGAAUCAUUGGGCGUAAAGGGCGCGUAGGUGGCCCGGUCAGUCAGUGGUGAAAGCGCGGGGCUCAACUCCGCGUCGGCCAUUGAUACUGCUGGGCUUGAGCACUGUAGAGGCAGGCGGAAUUCCGGGUGUAGCGGUGGAAUGCGUAGAGAUCAUGAGGAAGACCAGUGGCGAAGGCGGGUCUCGUGGACAGUUCCUGACACUGAGACACGAAGGCCAGGGAGCAAACGGG
rnacentral:rRNA from 1 species